UCGUUAAUUUUUUAGUGGAUUUUGGAGAUUUUAUGGAUUUCAGGAUUCAAUUACUUUCCAUUUUUCAUAUUUAGUCACCAAGUAGUUGAAGUAGGAGUGCUUUGUUGUUGACCAAUUCAACUUGGCUAUCGUUUUCUUUUGAGUUUUGGUUCGACCUUUUGAGUUUUUUUAAAUAUAACUUUGCGCAACGCUAGAGUGAGCCAAUGCGUCAUGCAAAGGCUGUUUGAGUUUUUUCUUCUUUUUUUUUCAGACAUUUUGCAUGUACAUUCAUAUACUUUAUAAUUAAAUACUUUUUCUUGGUUUAUUAUUUAUUUUUUAGAAUUUAAUUACAAUAUGUAUUAAAACAUAAACCAAAAAUAUUUUUGUCAAAAAAAAAAAAAAAGUGUUUGCACGACGAAGAAGUUCCAUAGGUCACGCCAAGUGUCUUUGCGCGACCUCUGGGAUGCGUCAGGCAAAGUAUCUUUGCGCGACGUCAUGUAUACGUCAUGCAAAGUAUCUUUGCGCGACGUCGAGAGACGUGUGUCACGCAAAUUGUAUUUGCGUGACGUCAUGUGCGUCACGCAAGGUGUUCUUAAUACUUUCCCCGAGUAUAAAUACUUUGGUUUAGGAGAAUAGGCUUGAUUCAAUGAGAUUUGGAUUCAUGAGUUAUAGCCAUCUGAGAUAGGCAAUAGUGUUUGCAUUCUUUAGAAAAAAUUUAGGAGCUACAAAACUAUGCUUUAAAUUUGAGUUUUGUGAUUACUAUUUUUGUUCUUUAUCUUACUAAAAUUUUGGUAAACUUUCAGCAACUCUUGCACAGCGAAAUGACUCCCACCACCCAACAAACGCAACUGCUGCAAUUUCAAUUGCAGUUCUUGAAGAAAGAAUUGCAGACGGUUUGAAUUUUGGAUGGAGUUUAGAAUAUUUAUCAUGGAGUGAGUUUCUCAUGCUGAGAUUGUAACCCAAUCAAUAAGACGUUUACGUUCGACCUGGCAAUGAGAUCGCUGAGCAGCUUCAUGCUACUAUGGUGGAAAAGGGCGAUGCUGUUCUCCAAGAAGCAACAUCGCAACUUCCCUCGGAAACCCCGAUGGAGGACGUCACUUUACCUGAGGAUGUAGGUUUUCAGAUCAUGACUGAGGUCCUAGAUCAAAAUUACGGUCGUCGUCAUGGCAAGGUUGUUCGGGGUAUGGGGAAGGCGCGGGUUCGUGAGACGGGUGCCUCUUCUUCCAAAUCGACCACAGGAGAGGUCAACGCCCUGAAGGAGGAAGUGACAACCCUUAAAGGUCAGCUUGCAGCCCAGGACGAGCAGAUAAAGGCCCAAAGUGAGCAGAUGAUGGACCAGAGCGAGCAUAUAAAGGCGGAGAAUGAGCAGAUGAGGGCCCAGAUGAGUAUGAUUGUACAUGCCUUAGCGGUGUCCGGUCUCCAAAUCCAGCUGCCAGCACCUGAUCUUACUCCACCUUCGACCUCCCAGCCACCUCACCUACCCGAUACCCAGUAGUUUUCAAACCUAGAAGACUACUUGUUGUAGUUUUUUCUUUUUUUGUUUAGACAUCUUGUAUGCACAUUUUCAUAUAUAUGGUUUAUAAUUAAAUUUUUUCUUGGUUUA